rnacentral:rRNA from 1 species
UACGGAGGGUGCGAGCGUUGUCCGGAAUCACUGGGCGUAAAGGGCGCGUAGGUGGCGCGGGCAGUCAACGGUGAAAGUUCGGGGCUCAACCCUGAAUCGGCCGUCGAUACUCCCGUGCUUGAGCACUGUAGAGGCAGAUGGAAUUCCGGGUGUAGCGGUGGAAUGCGUAGAGAUCCGGAAGAACACCGGUGGCGAAGGCGGUCUGCUGGGCAGUAGCUGACACUGAGCGCGACAGCGUGGGGGAGCAACAGGAUAGAA